rnacentral:lncRNA from 1 species
UCCCCCUGGGAAGCCAUACUCUCUCCAAUGAGACCAGUUAGUCUCCGGCUGUCACAGUGCUAAGUAAUGAUGAGGAGGAGGAGAGGCAGAACCAUCACUUCCAUCACCUCCAAUUUAAUUUCCCUCCCGUAGAACCUAACCAAGAUGAGUUUAAUCUGGUUAGGGCCUCCCUCAUGACCUCCCUAUAUCACCUUCCACCCUCCCCCAACAAUAUCAUGACUAAGCCAAUACCCGACAACCAUCUCUCUCUUCUCGAAGAUACACCAGGCAACAAUAACGUCCAAAACCCCAAAAAUUCAUACCAAACAAACUGUCACCCCCAUGCCCGGGCCCCAGGUCGCUCUCAUUUCUCAUUAGGUAGCUCUUCCAGAAAAAAAGCAUGCUCCUCCGGUUCGUUGAUGGUGGCGAAAUGCUUUUGGCACUAAUAUGACAAGCAAAGAAGCGGUGAUUGGGGUCACCCAUAAGAAGUAGGAGGAAACAGUGUUCCACAUGAGUGGGAGGUCCAGAACCGCCAGGCCUUUUUUUUCUCACCCUCAUAGGGGAAGAACAAGAAAUCUUCGCUUGUGAUAAUCAGUCAUACCAUAUCUCAGGAGCUCUAAUGGCGGUGAACCACUGGGACGGCAACAGAAGUGAAGAGGAUCUAUGCUUCAAGAAGAUCAUCAUCCUAGUCCACAUGAUGGAUAUAUGGUGGAGUUUUAGAAUCAAGGAAAGUAUGAAAAGCAUCAUUAAACACUACUUCCCCAGCCUCAUCCAUAUCAUCACCGAUAUCGAGGACAUGUCUCGAUGGAGUCCAGAGGUGAAAGCACUCGUCAACUUUACGGUGGAGGAUCCCCUGACCCCGGGUUUCUACCAUGAAAAACCUG